AUGAACGCUGGCGGCGUGCCUAAUACAUGCCCGUCGAGCGCACAGAUAAGGAGCUUGCUCCUUUGACGUUAGCGGCGGACGGGUGAGUAACACGUGGAUAACCUACCUAUAAGACUGGGAUAACUUCGGGAAACCGGAGCUAAUACCGGAUAACAUAUUGAACCGCAUGGUUCAAUAGUGAAAGGCGGCUUUGCUGUCACUUAUAGAUGGAUCCGCGCCGUAUUAGCUAGUUGGUAAGGUAACGGCUUACCAAGGCAACGAUACGUAGCCGACCUGAGAGGGUGAUCGGCCACACUGGAACUGAGACACGGUCCAGACUCCUACGGGAGGCAGCAGUAGGGAAUCUUCCGCAAUGGGCGAAAGCCUGACGGAGCAACGCCGCGUGAGUGAUGAAGGUCUUCGGAUCGUAAAACUCUGUUAUCAGGGAAGAACAAAUGUGUAAGUAACUGUGCACAUCUUGACGGUACCUGAUCAGAAAGCCACGGCUAACUACGUG
rnacentral:rRNA from 1 species